UGGGGAAUUUUGGACAAUGGGCGAAAGCCUGAUCCAGCAAUGCCGCGUGUGUGAAGAAGGCCUUCGGGUUGUAAAGCACUUUUGUCCGGAAAGAAAUCCUUGGCUCUAAUACAGUCGGGGGAUGACGGUACCGGAAGAAUAAGCACCGGCUAACUACGUGCCAGCAGCCGCGGUAAUACGUAGGGUGCAAGCGUUAAUCGGAAUUACUGGGCGUAAAGCGUGCGCAGGCGGUUUGCUAAGACCGAUGUGAAAUCCCCGGGCUCAACCUGGGAACUGCAUUGGUGACUGGCAGGCUAGAGUAUGGCAGAGGGGGGUAGAAUUCCACGUGUAGCAGUGAAAUGCGUAGAGAUGUGGAGGAAUACCGAUGGCGAAGGCAGCCCCCUGGGCCAAUACUGACGCUCAUGCACGAAAGCGUGGGGAGCAAACAGGAUUAGAUACCCUGGUAGUCCACGCCCUAAACGAUGUCAACUAGUUGUUGGGGAUUCAUUUCCUUAGUAACGUAGCUAACGCGUGAAGUUGACCGCCUGGGGAGUACGUCGCAAGAUUAAAACUUAAAGGAAUUGACGGGGUCAUA
rnacentral:rRNA from 1 species